AUACAACUGAGCGACUGAACUGAACUGAACUGAACUGAGACAUUCUUCUUUUGCAAGCACUCCUGCUGGGAAUCUCAGCACUGAGGAAAGCAGGAGAUGUCUCCUUAAGGGCCCCUCUUCCCAGAUGGCUCAGUGCCACAUUCUUCAGGCUUCUUUGCACUGUUCCAACCCCUGUGGCCUGUUGGAUCUGAAUUCCUUUGCCUGAUGGCACCUAGUUGGGUUUGGCCAAUGAGACUCACCAGUGGGAAACUGCAGCGGGAAGGGGAUAAGACACAGCGGACAGAAAUCAGGUCCAGACAGCAUGGCACUUGAAUGAGUUCGCCCACGGGAAGAAUAAAACCAGCUCACCUGCCUAUCCUGGCUCCUGUGACAACGCAUCCCAGACCACCUCCUGGCCUUGUUUCCUCUGAAGGGUCUGAUCUUCCAAGUUUUGGACAGUGUUCCCUUCUGCCAGUGUUGAAUCCUGCAAGCUAAGGACAUGAAUGAACUGAGUCAUCUCCACAGAGCUUCAUUAAUUUCAAGGCAAUUUAAGAUUUCUGAGUCAUAGGUUUCAGC